AUUGAACGCUGGCGGCAGGCUUAACACAUGCAAGUCGAGCGGGGUGAUGGCGCUUGCACUAUCACUUAGCGGCGGACGGGUGAGUAAUGCUUAGGAAUCUGCCUAUUAGUGGGGGACAACAUUUCGAAAGGAAUGCUAAUACCGCAUACGUCCUACGGGAGAAAGCAGGGGAUCUUCGGACCUUGCGCUAAUAGAUGAGCCUAAGUCGGAUUAGCUAGUUGGUGGGGUAAAGGCCUACCAAGGCGACGAUCUGUAGCGGGUCUGAGAGGAUGAUCCGCCACACUGGGACUGAGACACGGCCCAGACUCCUACGGGAGGCAGCAGUGGGGAAUAUUGGACAAUGGGCGGAAGCCUGAUCCAGCCAUGCCGCGUGUGUGAAGAAGGCCUUAUGGUUGUAAAGCACUUUAAGCGAGGAGGAGGCUACUUUAGUUAAUACCUAGAGAUAGUGGACGUUACUCGCAGAAUAAGCACCGGCUAACUCUGUGCCAGCAGCCGCGGUAAAAC
rnacentral:rRNA from 1 species